rnacentral:rRNA from 1 species
CAUGCAAGUCGAGGGGCAGCAUGAAUAUUGGCUUGCCAAUAUUUGAUGGCGACCGGCGCACGGGUGAGUAACACGUAUCCAACCUUCCGGUUACUCGGGGAUAGGCUUUCGAAAGAAAGAUUAAUACCCGAUGUUGUGUAUCUUUCUCCUGAAAGAUACGCCAAAGGAUUCCGGUAACCGAUGGGGAUGCGUUCCAUUAGGCAGUUGGCGGGGUAACGGCCCACCAAACCUUCGAUGGAUAGGGGUUCUGAGAGGAAGGUCCCCCACAUUGGAACUGAGACACGGUCCAAACUCCUACGGGAGGCAGCAGUGAGGAAUAUUGGUCAAUGGACGGAAGUCUGAACCAGCCAAGUAGCGUGAAGGAUGACUGCCCUCUGGGUUGUAAACUUCUUUUAUACGGGAAUAACAUGAGGUACGCGUACCUUAUUGCAUGUACCGUUAUGAAUAAGCAUCGGCUAACUCCGUGCCAGCAGCCGCGGUAAUACGGAGGAUGCGAGCGUUAUCCGGAUUUAUUGGGUUAAAAGGGAGCGUAGGUGGGAUAUUAAGUCAGCUGUGAAAGUUUGGGGCUCAACCUUAAAAAUUGCAGUUGAUACUGGUUUCCUUGAGUACGGUACAGGUGGGCGGAAUUCGUGGUGUAGCGGUGAAAUGCUUAGAUAUCACGAAGAACUCCGAUCGCGAAGGCAGCUCACCGGGCCGGAACUGACACUGAUGCUCGAAAGUGCGGGUAUCAAACAGGAUUAGAUACCCUGGUAGUCCGCACAGUAAACGAUGAAUACUCGCUGUUUGCGAUACACAGUAAGCGGCCAAGCGAAAGCGUUAAGUAUUCCACCUGGGGAGUACGCCGGCAACGGUGAAACUCAAAGGAAUUGACGGGGGCCCCCACAAGCGGAGGAACAUGUGGUUUAAUUCGAUGAUACGCGAGGAACCUUACCCGGGCUUAAAUUGCGCUGGCUUUUACCGGAAACGGUAUUUUCUUCGGACCAGCGUGAAGGUGCUGCAUGGUUGUCGUCAGCUCGUGCCGUGAGGUGUCGGCUUAAGUGCCAUAACGAGCGCAACCCUUAUCUUUAGUUACUAACAGUUUUGCUGAGGACUCUAAAGAGACUGCCGUCGUAAGAUGCGAGGAAGGUGGGGAUGACGUCAAAUCAGCACGGCCCUUACGUCCGGGGCUACACACGUGUUACAAUGGGGAGCACAGCAGGUUGCUACACGGCGACGUGAUGCCAAUCCGUAAAACUCCUCUCAGUUCGGAUCGAAGUCUGCAACCCGACUUCGUGAAGCUGGAUUCGCUAGUAAUCGCGCAUCAGCCACGGCGCGGUGAAUACGUUCCCGGGCCUUGUACACACCGCCCGUCAAGCCAUGAAAGCCGGGGGUACCUGAAGUACGUAACCCGCGAGGA